rnacentral:rRNA from 1 species
AGAAUCAACGCUGGCGGCGUGCCUAACACAUGCAAGUCGAACGAGAAAGUGGAGCAAUCCACAAGUAAAGUGGCGCACGGGUGAGUAACACGUGACUAACCUACCCUUGAGUGGGGGAUAACCUAGAGAAAUCUGGGCUAAUACCGCAUAAUACCUUCGGGUCAAAGGAGCAAUUCGCUUAAGGAGGGGGUCGCGGCCGAUUAGUUAGUUGGCGGGGUAAUGGCCCACCAAGACUAUGAUCGGUAUCCGGCCUGAGAGGGCGCACGGACACACUGGAACUGAAACACGGUCCAGACUCCUACGGGAGGCAGCAGUGGGAAUUUUGCGCAAUGGGGGAAACCCUGACGCAGCAACGCCGCGUGGAGGAUGAAGUCCCUUGGGACGUAAACUCCUUUCGAUCGGGACGAUAAUGACGGUACCGAGAGAAGAAGCCCCGGCUAACUUCGCGCCAGCAGCCGC